UAUAUACGGAUUUUUGAGCUUACAUACGGAUUUUGGCUGUAGGUAACAACGAUUUUUCUUGUAGUGCCCGUUAUUGGGUCGCUAUAGGCCCACCCAUUAAAAAAGUCUAAUCUCACACUCGAGAUGUAUAUACCCCCAUUAAAAAAGUCUAAUCCCGCACUCGAUAUGUAUAUACCCCGGCGUGAGAGGUGUGUUGGAAGUUUCACAUCGAUUAAAGAAAAGGUCAUUUAAGUGUAUAUAAAUGAGUGCAAAUCUCACUUUACAAGCCGGUUUUGUGGGAUUGAGUUAGGCUUAAACUCGACUUCUAACAUCGAUCUAUCGGUACAACAAUUUUCCCUAUGUAGACAGAAGAGGAUAAAAAGAUACCUUUUCUAUGAGUUUGAGAACUUAAUAUCCUGCGCAGACAAGCGACAAGACCGUGUACGAACAUUUUGACGCGCCAUGGAAUUCGAGGUGUGGAUGUUUAUACCUAUAAUUUCUUUAUAGAUGCAUUAUGCAAAGAAGGAAAGGUCAAAGAAGGCAAAAAUGUGUUAACUCUAAACAAGCCAAAAAUUUGUGAGCUGAUGUGAAGAAAGCUGGUGUAGAACUUACUAUUGUUAUCUUAACACAUUAAUGUAUGGGUAUUACUUAGUAACUCCUGACUUUUACAGCUAAAAUGUCACGAUUAAUCACGAUUAAUGGACUAAUGAAAGAGUGGAUGCGGCCCUGAAUCUCUUUCAGGAAAUGAAUAGAAGUAUGGUUCCUGAGAUAGUGACUUAUACUUCUCUUAUCCAUGGUU